UACGUAGGGGGCAAGCGUUGUCCGGAUUUAUUGGGCGUAAAGAGCGUGUAGGCGGCUUGGUAGGUCUGCUGUGAAAACUCGGGGCUCAACCCCGAGACGUCGGUGGAAACCACCUGGCUAGAGUCCGGAAGAGGAGAGUGGAAUUCCUGGUGUAGCGGUGAAAUGCGCAGAUAUCAGGAAGAAUAUCCGUGGCGAAGGCGGCUCUCUGGGACGGUACUGACGCUGAGGCACGAAAGCGUGGGGAGCAAACAGG
rnacentral:rRNA from 1 species